AGAUGAACCCUAACCUCAUGCUCCGGCGUCUUCUCCUCGAUCCAGAAAGAUGAUCUGAAAUUGAACUCAAAUCAGACCUCCCCCAACCCUUCUCUCUUCGAUUUUCUGAUUCUCCUCUCCGAAUCCCCCCUCUCUGUUUCACCAUAUCAUCGUCUCGCCUUCCGCUUGUUGCCCCAGAAGUUCUUUAGUGUUCCGGUCUAAAUCAAACCUCCCCAAACCCUUGUCUCUUUGAAUUCUUCCUCUACUACAAAAUUGAAACUGACCACAACCACUACACCACCUUCAUAACUAAGUCAUAACACACUCCACUAAAGCUUCUUAUUUACCACACGCCAACCACCAACAUGUCAUCCAUAAUGAACCACAACACCCGUCUUGCACCACAAUCAGACCACUAAACAUGUCACACUAACCACACCCACUUAACCACAACAACAUUUUCACGACAUACACACCCUAAACAAACAGGUCCACAACAAAACACAACCCACAAUACUGUUAUGCUAACCACGUCCAUCCUAACCCUGACCUCAAAGUAGCACCUACCACAACCAUAAUCAUGUCGUCCACGCAACCAUAAUCAUGUCGUCCACGCAAAACAAAGCUUAAGCAAACAAAAACAUCUACAACCACAACCCUGUCAUCCAUGACACUUCACCCACCUAAUCUCAAACCCCUGGCCCCAACCACAACCCUGUCCUUCAACCACAACCUUGUCAUCCAACCACAACCCUGUCAUCCAUGACACUUCAUCCAUGACACUUCACCCACAUAACCCCUGGCUUCAAAGUAGCACCUACCACAGCCAUAAUCAUGUCGUCUACGCAAAACAAAGCUUAAGCAAACCAAAACAUCUACAACCACAACCCUGUCAUCCAUGACACUUCACCCACCUA
rnacentral:lncRNA from 1 species